UACGUAGGGUGCAAGCGUUGUCCGGAAUUAUUGGGCGUAAAGAGCUCGUAGGCGGUUUGUCGCGUUCGGCUGUGAAAAACUCGGGGCUCAACCCCGAGCCUGCAGUCGAUACGGGCAAACUAGAGUGUGGUAGGGGAGACUGGAAUUCCUGGUGUAGCGGUGAAAUGCGCAGAUAUCAGGAGGAACACCGGCGGCGAAGGCGGGUCUCUGGGCCAUAACUGACGCUGAGGAGCGAAAGCGUGGGGAGCGAACAGG
rnacentral:rRNA from 1 species